rnacentral:misc_RNA from 1 species
AACAUCGCGCACCUGCGGGAACCUGCGGAGGGAUCAUUACAGAGUUGCAAAACUCCCUAAACCAUUGUGAACGUUACCUAAACCGUUGCUUCGGCGGGCGGCCCGGGUCCUUCCCGGCGCCCCUCGGCCCUCGCGGGCGCCCGCCGGAGGUAAACCAGACUAUUGCAUUGUAUGGCCUCUCUGAGUCUUCUGUACUGAAUAAGUCAAAACUUUCAACAACGGAUCUCAGAUCGGAAGAGC